AUUAUAUGCCAAUAAAUUUAACAAUUUAAGUGAAAUGGAAUGAUCAUGAUGGAAUGCUGCUGGGCUGUGGAAAGUGAAGAGCUGGUUCAUUUGGGAGGAACAUGGAGGGACUUGCACAAAAAGGUGAGGAGUGGAAUGAGUAGAACCAGGAGAGCAUUGUACAUAGUAACAGCAAUGUUGUUUGGGAGUGACUUUAAACAACUGGGUCAUUUUGAGUAUUGUAGAUACUUAAGUCAACUGCAGGGGACCUGUGGGGGAGGAUGCUGUCUACAUCUGGGGAAAGAAACUGACAGAUGGAGAAACCUGAAUGGACCAUUUUCUACCACAAGGACUCCUGGAAUGGAUGCUGUGCCUCUCAUUCCUGGAGCUCCAAGGAUAGUUUCCUCACCUACAAAAUGAGAGUGCUGAACUAAAAUGAUCUCCAAGGUCCCUUAGAGCUUUAACAGUCGACGGAUAUUGCUUUAUAAUCAAAAUCAGCUCAGAAUGGGCCUACAUCAUUUUGAAAGCUUGAAAAUCUCAUCUAAAUGUCAGUCUGGCAUGUGAGAUAGAGGGCUGGCUGGGGAGUCUGAAAGUCCUUGCCUCAGGGAUGUGAAGACAGAGAAUUGGCAGAAUUCUGAAAAUGAAGACUCUUUUUCCAAAGUGAAUUGCCGGCCAUCAGCAGAGCUUCCUUGGGGCAGUGCAGACCCGGCUCUCUACUGACCAGCAAGGCAGACCAGCCGACCAAGCUCUGAAAUUCUCUGGUUCAGUGAUUGCUGAGUAUAUGAGCUACACCUGGGAUGUGGUGAGGCCUGGUAUUUGUUCGUUACCACCUUGCGAUCCUCCAGAGAGAUGAAUGGACUGCCUUUGAGGCUUUCCAGGUUGACUCCUUGGUACCCUGCUUCAUGAACUCUGUUCCAAUCAAACUCACCUACCAGCUAUUGCUAAAUAAACAUUGCAUCUCACCUA